rnacentral:lncRNA from 1 species
CUUCUCCACACCAUAUCUUGGAUCAAUUUCAUUCUGUUCGGGCCACGGUGGUAAGAAAUGUCGGGAUUUGUGGAUUCUAAGUUGAAAACAUGAAGAACGUUGCCAUGGCAGUGGUUUCUUGUUGAUGGAGUUUGGGCGGAGGGUCGAAGGAGGAGGAGGAGGAAGAAAAGAAAUACAGAGAUGGAAAGGCGGUAGCCGGACAGGGCGGAUGGUUUGUUUUAAGAUGAAGGGAAAAGCCCUUUUUGAUUAAAGAAAGGGAUUGUGAAAUCAUGGUAGGGGGUUCAAGGUUUAAAUUUGAGGGUAGGAUGCACAUGAAAUGAUAUAAAUUGAUUGAAGGGUGAAGGAAGAAGAAGUGUAGGUAUAGAUGAAAGGGGGCAAAUUCCAUUAUUUGUCGUCAAAUCAGUCGCGAAGUUUUGAAGGUGUAAGUGGGACAGUUGCAAAGGUCGUGAGUUCGUAGGGACGUAAACCAACAUUGAAAAAUCAAUGGUGAAAAUAGGGAAACAUGGAGAAGACAGGAUCCGAACUUGCAUUGAUUGUACACUCACCAACUCUGUUAUGUACUUCGGAUUUUUCGUAGUGUUGCAUAUAAUAUAUAUCAUUUUAAAUAUUUUAUUAAGUGGAUAUGAAUUAAGAUUGAGAUAAAUUUUGAUGUAUUUUAAUAGUAAUCAUAAGCAUUGUAGAUGAUUUUAAUUGAUCAAUAAAAUACACUCACUCUUUG